GUGGGGAAUCUUGCGCAAUGGGCGAAAGCCUGACGCAGCCAUGCCGCGUGAAUGAUGAAGGUCUUAGGAUUGUAAAAUUCUUUCACCGGGGACGAUAAUGACGGUACCCGGAGAAGAAGCUCCGGCUAACUUCGUGCCAGCAGCCGCGGUAAUACGAAGGGGGCUAGCGUUGCUCGGAAUUACUGGGCGUAAAGGGCGCGUAGGCGGACAGUUUAGUCAGAGGUGAAAGCACAGGGCUCAACCUUGGAAUUGCCUUUGAUACUGGCUGUCUUGAGUACGGGAGAGGGGAGUGGAACUCCGAGUGUAGAGGUGAAAUUCGUAGAUAUUCGGAAGAACACCAGUGGCGAAGGCGACUCACUGGCCCGUUACUGACGCUGAGGCGCGAAAGCGUGGGGAGCAAACAGGAUUAGAUACCCUGGUAGUCC
rnacentral:rRNA from 1 species